rnacentral:lncRNA from 1 species
GUUCCCAGGCUAGGGGUUAAAUCGGGGCUGCAGCUGCCAGCCUACACCACAGCCACAACAAUGCCAGAUCCGAGCCUCAUCUGUGACCUACACCACAGCUCAUGGCAACACCAGAUCCUUAACCCGCUGAGCAAGGCCAGGGAUUGAACCCACAACCUCAUGGUUCUUAGUUGGAUUCAUUUCCACUGCACCACAAUGGGAACUCCCUGAGUGAAUUUCAGAUUAAUCCAUGGGCGUUGAUGUUCUAUCUCAACUCCAGAGAGCAUGCUUAGUGGCUGGGAGGCAUCUGUCCUAAAAUCCCAGCAUCCCUUUCAGAAGCAGCAACACUAUCCUAGGAGAUGAAAGCCCAACCCCUUUCUUACUGAGGCUUUCAAAAGUCCCCUUAGAACUUGGACAACUUGACUUCCCAAAAUUGUGGAGUAGAAAAAUAACUUAGAAGAUUGGCAUGCAAACAAAUAUUCAAGUUCUCUAUAAACAUCUGUCUUAAAACCCUCUAUAAACUCUUGCCUUCAAGCCCUCUAUAAACUCCUGUCUGGAUUUGUAAAUAAAAACCAUAUAAGGAUUCUCCAGUAAAUACUGGAGGGAGAAAAGUAUAGACAUUUCUGAGAGCUCAUUUCUACCUAGUUGAGCAAAGCUUAUAAAAGUUAUAUAUACUGUGUGUUCUGUCACCUUUUCAUUGCUUUGUAACCUCAGUCAUAAACCCAAAACAAUGCUUAUUUGCCAGUUCUUUCCCUGCGUGUUUCUGCAGUUUCCAACCAAAGGUUGAUGCAAAUGGUGGAAAAGAAGUGUAUUGAAUAAAAUUAGAAAGUUCUAAAAAUAGAGCUUUUUUAAAAGAUAAAAUGGGCUGCCCUAAGCAAUAGUGAGUCUCCUAGCACUGGAAGUAUGAAAGCAGAGAUUAUAAGUGUAUCUGCUGAAUGAGCUGAAAAGAAAUACUUAAAAUCAGGUGGAGAAUUGGGUUAGACAACCUCUAAGUCCCUCCAAAUCAGAAGUUCUAGGAAUUGAAGACAUCCAUUCAUUCAAAGCUCUCCUAAAGGCCUAGUCUGUGCCAGAUUGUGUCCUUGGGAGAGAUGAAAUAAACCAAGCCCCUGGGGACCCUCAGUGAGUCCCAGCUUUGUAAUAAGAUGGACAAGCCAGUGGCUAACUCAAGUGCAAGGCAAAAUGAUGCAUGUCUUAGAGAACUGACAACAGCCAGUUGUGCAGAGGUAGCUGAGAUGCAGAACCACCUGGGAUUAGAGAAAGUUCCCCAUAGCCUGCUUCCUUGGACUGGAGGGCUCUGGCUGUGGGGGAAAUAUCCACGUACAAUAAUAUAUUUUAUUGAGCUCUUAUUUGGUGCUGGUCACUUAAGCUGUCAUUUAACCUACAUAACAGUCCAUUCAGUUAGGCACUAUUGUUUUCCUCCAUUUAAUGUUGGAUAAAAUCAAGGGUAAAAAGGUUAAGGAAGAGGCAUGAAGCCAGGUGUCGUCUUCCAGAUGUUGCUCUUAGUGCUGUUCUGUUUCCUGGGCUAGUUCCUGUCACUUUCUGAGACUCAGUGUCCCUAUAUGAACAAUGAAGGGUUUGGACCAGGCCCUUUGUCAUGUCCAGUAUUCUGGAAACACCAGGAAUAAUCUACAUUUCUCCUUCCCAGAUGAGGCUGGGAGGAAAGGAGGGCCUCCUUGGCCAGGCUGAUGUUGCACCCAGUCUCUCGGGUAAGGGCUCCUAGGCCUUGAGCUCUACAGGAUCUCAGAGAGACUCCUCACACAUAGAUUUAGCUUCCUAAGCCUGCCUAUGAAUAUGGAACAGAGAAGGAAAGCCUUGCUCCAUGUGGCCCCGAUACCACCAAGAAUCAUCCAUAAAUCCCUUUGACUUCCAGCAGGAGUCAGAUCUGGUUUUUCAGAGCCAGGUCAUGACAGAAGAGACAGCUUCACAUGCCCUGGGAAUGAGGGCCAAGCAGGGAAUGCCUGGUGCCUGUGGGGAAGAGGCUCCCAUUAAUGUGGGCAGGCACAGGGCCAGGUGAGGAGCUUUGAGUCCGCCAGGCAGCCCAUGGUUGUGCGUCAGACUGAACUGCAGCCUCGAAGGUGUGGACAUUUAUAAUGUCAGUUUAGCUGAGCUGGAACUGUGUUUCCUGGAAUUCCCUUCUCUGCUUAAUUCCAGGUUAGCUCUGGUCACAGGAACAUUUUGUAGGAGUUUUUGAAGGUACAAAUGAAGUAACCUUCUUCUUUUGGUUCAGAAGGCAGGGCACAAGGCCUCACAUACCUUGCUGCUUUCCUGCUAGCUCACCUGGGUGGCAUGGGGCAGCAUCCAGACCUGCAGGCCACAGCUCCUGCUGGUCCUAUCUCUUCUAUUUCCUGACCCCUGGGUGAGUUGAGGGUUUCACUCCACCAGGAAAGGCAAAACUCCUCUAAGUCAUCCCAUCAUCAAAGUUGGAGCCUUGGGUUCCACGUGGAUUCCAUACCUCCUUUCCAUCAUUCCUUCCCAACUGCCUGCCCUGCUGACUUUAGGCUCCAGUGUAAGACACAGAAGUAAUAGCCUCACUUUGACCAGUUCCUAUGUUACAUAAGGUGGAAUCCCUGUAGUCAUUCUCUUAUUGUAUACAUUCUGCUAGUGGCUCUGCUUCUCUGACUGAACCCUGAAUGAUAUGCAGGGGAACAGGUAAGAGGAGGAACAAGGCUGAACCCUGGGGGGACUGAGGGAGGAAUGGGCUGAUGCCAGGAUCAGAGCAGAAGUCAGGUUCCCGGAAGCAGAAUCUGAUUAAGCCUCUGAGCUCCUGAAUGUGGGCUAAUUGGCUGCCUCGUAGAAGUACUGUUCUCAAGACCUGAAGAAAACUGAGCCCUUCAAGGAACAAGUGGCUUUGUUUGUUGGGAGGGCUGGGAUGAGUUGAAGUCACAGCAGGUCCUUGCAUGGCUUAGAUACAGCCCUACAACUACUAUAGAUACACAUUCACGCUUGUGCAUAAAUUCACAGCAUAUAUAGUCUUCCCUAGCCAAGCAGAACUGUCAGAGCUUUCUUUUAUUCCUACCUCCCUUUUCCUUCUGGCAAUGCUGGAAACUUUAAUGACUCUUUUAAGCCCUAAAAUAUAAUAUAUUGAGACUGAGACUCUAGGGAGGUAGCCUCUGGAUAAAAGACUAACUCCCUUCUCCUCUCUCCCUUUCUGGAGAAGGGCAACAGCAGGUUAGUGAGGCUGGAGGAGUCUGGAGGGAGCAUUUGAGGCCACCAGGUAAAGGACGGCUUGUGCACCUGAAGGGGCCCAGCGUGUGUGGUCCUAGGAGGGCCAGCCAAUCCUCCUGGCCUUAGAGGACCUGCAGGAGACUAGGAAGUAGGACAAAUACUCCUGGUCCCUGCAGUGGAGAGGAUGCCCCUUGGAUCUGGGAAGAGAUUUGGUCAGAAGCUCCCUCCCUCUGCUUAGGAGAAGAACAGAGCCUGGCCAUUUUGUUCGCCACUGCUUAACGAGACCAGAACCUCCUAGGCCUUACCCAACAGUCGACCCAACGACAUCAUGAACAAGCUAAAGAAAAAAAUAACCAUUUUAACCAGUGCUCAGUAACCAGAACAGAGCAGACAAAGCAGAGCCUGAAUAGCAGGGGCGCCACUGGAGCAGGACAUUGGCAGAGUCAAAUGUGAAAGCUAAACAGCUGGAAGGAAAACUCUUAAAGAGAUCCCAUUAGAGAAUAAAAAGGACUUUCUGGGUCUAAAAAUGCAGCUUUCUCAUUGAGACUUUUAACUCAUUAACUGAAAGAAGAGAUAGUUUUUUUCUGAAAACACAUUUAGUAGCCUGAACAAGAAAUUCCUCACAGCAGAGCAACAAAUUCACAAAGACAAAAACCAUGAAGGGAAAAGAUAGAAGACUCUAGGAGGACAGGUACAGGAGACCUAGCUGGCAAGUAAUGUGAGUUCCAGAAGGAUAGAAAGGAAUAAAUAAAAUCAUCAUAAAAACUAAAGAAAUCAUAAAGAGUGUUUUUAUGUCUAGAAAGAUAAAUUUCAAAAUUAAAAGGGAUUUUCAAGUCCCAGACACAAUUUUUUCCAGUUUAUUGAACUAUAAUUGACAAAUAAAAAUUAUAUAUAUCUAAGGUGUACAGUGUGAUGUUUCGAUUUACAUAACCUUGUGAAAUGAUUGCCACAAUAUACCUAAUGUAUCCAUCACUCACAUGGUUAUAAUUUUUUGUGGUAACAACACCUAAGAUCUAUGCUCUUAGCAAAUUUCAAGGAUACAAUACUGUAUUAUUGUCUAUAGUUACCAUGCUGUAUAAUAGAUCUCCAGAAUGUAUUAAUCCUACAUAACUGAAAUUGUGUACUCUGACCAACAUCUCCCCAUACCCCCCACACCCCACCCACCAGGCCCCUAGACACAACUGACUAAAGAAAUAGACACUCUGACAUAGCUUGGUUUAAAAAAUAAAACAAAACUGAGUUUCAGUUUCCACACUGUGUAAUUACUAUCUUUUCCCUUGCAACUGACAGAUUAGAUAAAAAAGGGAGAAUAGAGACCAGACUAGAACCAAACUUUUCCAUCACAAAUAACUAGUUAGAAGAAUAACACCUAUGGGAUAAAUAAAGAUAUUUGCAGAUCUGCAAGGAUACUGAAGGUGUCACCCACAUAGCUUAUCCGAGGAACAUACUUGAGAAACUAUGCUAGCCAAAUGGCAGCUCCAGCAGAAAAAUUAAAAAUAGAAAAAUGCUGGUGAGCAACACUGGUAACCAUGUUGAUUCGUGGUUGGCAACCAUUCUGCUAAGUUGUUAAAUAUUUUUAAAAUUUGUGUAUAUGCAUGAAUGUAUGUAUAUGUAAAUAAAUAGUAUGACUGGGGAUUUUGUCAAAAGUUUUAAGUGAGGAAUUUUAGAACAGAAAAUAGUAGAGCUAAACCUAAUAACAGCUUUAACUAAAUAUUUUAAGUCACUGGAGUGAAACUUAGAAAUGAAAAAUAAAGAGAAAGUUGAGAGUAAAGAAACAAAAUCUAUCUAAAUAUUUCAUUUUAUUUUGCUAUUAGGAGAGAGGCAUAAGUAAAUAAAGCAAUUUGGUGGAAACAAGUUGAUAAUUACUAUCAUAUUCAACUAUAAGAGGUAAUAUAUGUAAUGAUGAUUCUUGGGAUGAAAAAAAGUAACCAUUUGCAGAGUUAGAAAGCAGAGAAAUGCUUCAAAAUUAACAUUUCCUU